AUGCAUAAUACGGCCACGCCAGUUCUCGACCGAUCGCUAAAGUUAAGCAACGUCGGGCCCGGGCAGUACUUGGGACCACCAGGUGCUGUAGGCU
rnacentral:rRNA from 1 species